CUCCUGCCCUGAGCUCACAGUCAUAAUUCCAACAGCCCACAGGUUGACCAUCACUCUGCGCCAGGCUCUGGACUGAGCACUUUGGCAUCAUCUCAUUUAAUCCUCCCUUGACCCUCGAUGUAUACACUAUUAAUACCUCCAUUUUAUGGCUGAAGGAACAGAUGCUUCAAGGGCUGGAAUAACUUACCCAAGAUCACAGAGAAAGUAAAUUCAAAGCCAAGAUUUGCCCUUAAUCAUCUUACUCUAUUCUACUGGAAAGAGCUGAUUUUUGCCUCUCACUAAAACAUUCCCAUUAAUAUCCUUGCUAUAUUUAACUGUAAUUACCUUAUAUAGUCUCUUCUCUUAAGCCAUACCCUUUCUUAAGAGCUAUAUUCCAAAAUUAUUUGGGUAUUCAGCACAAACCAGUAGUCACGGAUUAUAUUAGGAUUCAAAUGUCAAAUUACUGACUCCCAACAAAUUUGUUCUGUGGUGAGGUAUCUAAUGAAAGCUCUUUUGUUUAAUAGGAAUGAUAAUAAUAGCUAGUCAUUACUGAGUAUCAUGUGCUAGGUAUUGUUCUGAGAGUUUUAAGUUUAUUAAUUGAAAUUGAUUUAAUCUUCAUAACAACCUUAUGAGGUUGUUAACCAAUAUAUCCAAUUUACGGAUGAGAAAACUGAAAAUGUGCCUUUUGAAGACCUCGGAAAAUACGUGGUCCCUGAAAAGAUAUGGAAAGAAAACUGCAAAAUGAAAACAAAUGUGUAAUUAAAUGUCUACAAUAUAUAGCAUUACAUAGGUUUUAUUAAUUAUUGAAUCUAAUAUACUUAAAAUCUUUAUUAUAUCUGAAAACAACUUGUAGGAUAGAUUUUUCUCACUUGCAGGAGUUGCUGAGUUUUUCCCUGUGCGUGCUGAGACAUCACUGCCAACCUUUAAAUUAAAGGAGUUAGUCAUAGCCAAAUAACUCAAACAAAAAAUUAUAAAAAUCUCUCAAAAUUCUCAGGGAAAAAAAAUAGAGAGGGAAAAUGAGAGAGAGAUAUUGAGGGAUUUCCCAGAGAAAAGGUAAGGCCUAUGAAGGGGCUAAAACUGCCGUAAUUUGUGCGUGUGAUGACUUAAGGAGCCUGGGAAGAGCUAAGGACUUUACAUCCACCUUGUUCAAGUUCACUCUAAGUUUAAGAUGCACCAAAGAACCAUGAAAUAGGAUUUGAAAGCUGAUGAUCCUGCUCUGCUUCCUGCUGGCUGUGUGACCCCGGGCAAAGCCCUUAUUGGCCCUGUUCCUCAUCAUCAAACAGGGUGGUUUUAAACAUUAAACAAGACGUGUAUUGGAAAGUGCUUUGCCAACUGUACAUUUCUAUAGAUGUUAAAGUAUAGCCAUUAAUUCCAGCUAUACAGUUUUCCCCUUAUUGAGGGAAGGACAAUUAAAAUUCUAAGAUGUUUUUAAAACAAAUUUUGGUUUUUUACCAUUAAGUAAACGCAAUAAUCCAACAAAAUGCUGUCAAAUAGAUAUCUGCCCUUCGAGGUCUUUCUAUAAAUGGCCAGGAAUAAUUAGCCCAUUGACUUUCCACAGAUGAGCAUUUCUUAGAUGCCAGAGAAGUUUAUUUAUACAAGUAGUUUCAACAUACUCUCUGAAAUCUUGUUUUUCACCUGCCAGAUCUCAUCAAGAUGUCUUGGACACUGUGGCAGCUGCCAGCCUCAGGGUAAGGUGCAGCCAAAGACCCAAAAGGCAAAUGUCCACUCUGUUUUCUUGAAGCCCAAGUUCAGGAGCUGCCUGUUGGCCUGCCCUGGACUGGGUGAGAGCAUCAGAGACUCUCAUCUUCACUCAAGGCCUGGGCCUGAGCAGAAGACAACUGGCCUUUUCUAGGGUCUAGUGAGGAGAUGGCUCCAUCUGCCAGCCAGAGACUUUUCCCUCAUUUCCUUCAGCUUCAAAAUUUUAAGGGGACCAAAGCAAGGGGUGCCUGCAGACCCAUCCUAAGACGGAAGUCACAAGAGACAAAAUAAGGAGAAGCUGAGAGAGAAGAAUGAUGGAAUCCAACAACUCUCCAUCUAUGUGCCAAUUAAUUAAUUAAUUUCAACAAUUCUCGGCUGGUUAAGUGGAGCCUCCAAUACUCAGUGCAGCCAAACCUCCACUCUCCCUUCUCUUAAGCUGCCACCCCAACACCUGUUUCUAUCCACUCGGAUGCACUGUGUGUAGCAUUUAUGUUUUCUAUCUGGGAAUGACUGGGGUGGGGGUUAUGAAGGGGAGGAGGAUUAAAAACAGAAAAGAAGAGGAUGGAGCAAAGGGUAAGGUAUCUAUUCUGUCUCUGCCUCUCACUCCUCCCCUUCGUGAUAUGAGGGAGAAAAGGCCAGACACUGGUGGAAGAGUUCAAGAUCUGUUGCAACUCCAGACCAGCAUAGCUGCUUCCUCUCCCAGGGUAUAAAAUGCAGAGCAGUGAGGGCCAUUCUCUCAGCCCUUUAAAAAGGCAGGAACACCUGAAUCCCAGAAGCAGUGGAAACAUGUGGGAAUUGGAAAGAACAAAUCCAAAUGGAGGGUGCACUGACCAUCGCUGCCAGUCUAGUCUGAAGCCAUGCUAAAGCACCCCAAAGGGCAGCACCCCAUAAAAAACACAAGUGACCUCAAGAGGCCACCAGAGUCAGGCAGGUGGGGGGCUGCAGCUGCUACUAUAACUCACAUCCUAAUGACAAAUGUAGUCUGGGACAUCUUGGUUGCAUUGAUGACAUUACUCCUUUCACUGAUCAAUGUCUGUGUCUUACAGUCUUGACCCCUCCUCUCAUGGAAUUGGAGGGAGGAAGCCUUCUGCUCCCACUGGAGAUUCACUUGUGGGCUCCACAAACGCCCUUCUCAUCCGUGAUGUAAAAGUCAAUUCAGGGGCCGGCCCCAUGGCCGAGUAGUUAAGUUUGCUUGCUCCACUUCAGCAGCCAGGGGUUUCAGUGGUUCAGACCCUGGGCGCAGACAUGGCACCGUUCAUCAGGCCAUGCUGAGGCGGCGUCCCACAUGCCACAACUAGAAGGACCCACAACUAAAAUACACAACUAUGCACUAAGGGGCUUUGGGGAGAAAAAGCAGGAAAAAAAAAACAAAAAGAAGAUUGGCAAUAGCUGUUAGCUCAGGUGCCAAUCUUAAAAAAAAAGUCAAUUCAACCAGGUUCUUGGCUCUUCAUCAGAAAUUCAGAACAAGGGAACAAGUUGAUAAAGUCUUCUAUCU
rnacentral:lncRNA from 1 species